UUUUGUUAAGCCGACCGUGAUUGUAUACAGAAUGUCGUUUGUUGCCGUUCACGUUGCUGUGAUUUUUUUCCAGAUUCUAUGGUUUUGUGGGCUGCUGAGUUUUGACUUUUGUGACGUUCACAAAGCCAACUUAAACCAUACCAUCAUCAUUUAUUACCAUCUGAAAAAAAAUACUAAUUAUAAAACUGUUGACACAACUAUGUAAAAAAGAUUUUAAAUAUUACGGAAACACAAAUAACUUAGAAGCUACAACAGUUCCGUCAAAACUUGUGUUUUCGAAAACGAGAUUUAACACGAAUGAUUGUAGGAACGGUUAUCUACGAAAAGUUUAGAUUAUAUAAUUUUAGCAUCGAUUCGAAGAUGAGAAGAGUGUUAUCUUCCUUACCUGGUACGCCAGGAGCCCAGAGUAUGAGGAGCAGACGAAAUGCAAGACACAAAUACUUUGGGUAUAGGAAGGAAUAUAGAAGAAAGGUAGUUACUAUAGUAUACUACCCUAUUAUAAGUACUCACUAAACCAAAGUGGUUCCAGGACUCUCAAGACGCCAGCAGGAAGCACUAGUGCAAUUUAAAACCUCUAUUACAACUUGUGGAAGCACGCCAGGUAUCACUCUGAAACGUUUCUACGUUUGUACUCUUUUAAAUUUGUUUUUUAUAAACUUGUUAUGAUAUACAUAGCACAUCAUUAAUGUCAUAAUGUAUUAUUUAAGACUUCAAUCAAUCAAUUAAACAAAAUAAAAUGUAUACCAAUAAAAAUAAGAUAUAUAUAUGUACCUUUUAAAUGUUUAAAUAUACUAAUGAAAUGUCGUAGAAAAAGUAUAUAUUAAUUAUAUAAAACAAACAGGAAAUAAUAUAUAAUAUGUAAUGGUAGCACAUAAAAUGUAGGGUAAUAAACUAUGUCUAAAUUAUUAUAUAAGAUAUGAUAGUAUUUUAUAAUAUGUAGAUCAUUAUUGAUGAAAAUGUAAUAAAUAACAUGUAAUAAAUUACGAUUAAUAAAGAAAUAACGGUGGCGUCGGGGAUCACUUCUUGCCUUUGAACCACGAUCAAAUUCAAUAUAAAAAGCCAAAAAUAAAGAGCAUUCUGGGUCAGAUGCAGUCAGAUAUUCACAGAGACACUCACUACGCUCGAUCAUUUCACAUAACAAAAUAUAUGCAAGAAGUGAUCCGUCAUCAACACAAUUAUAUUUGUACGAAAAAUACAACAUCUAUUUAUUUAAGAGUGUCACAGAAAAUAUCAAGGUAGGAAUCUAAUA